rnacentral:lncRNA from 1 species
UGAUUUUAAAUUAUUUAAUAUAUAUUUAUUAUUUUAUAAUAUAGAAAAAAUAAAUGAAUAAUACAUAAAAAUAAGUUUUAUACACAAUGUUUAUCCCGCGAAAAGCGCGGAUCAUAGUAUAUCAUAACCUAUUAAUUGUUAUGGUUAUUUGGUGAAGUAAAGUUUUUUUGAUUACAUGAUCAAAUUUCCCUUUGAAAUUCUAUGAUCUAGGCAUAGAUUGUUUGUGUUAAAAAAAAAAAGAAAAAAAAAGACAGAUAGAUUCUACAACGAAGAUUGAUUGAUUUGAAUAUUGUGAUUUGAGUUUAGGAAAUGUUUUUCAUAUAACAUUUACCAAGAAAUGUUCCUCAUAAAAACCUUACCAAUCAAUCUUGUCUGCAAUUCUAAUUCUCUGUAACUUCAUUAUAUGGGAUCCCCUUCAUUACAUUAUACUUUGUUUAGCUUAGUUUGAUAACUGAAACAUAUGGAAUGAUCCAGAAUUUCUUUAGAUUUGAUCUCUUAAUAUUGUACUGCAC